GCCGGAAGGGGCGGGUUCUGCGGCGGAUCUAUCCCCCGACAACCUGCGGCCUACCAUGGCGGCGCUCCGCCUGCGCCUCGCUUUCGACUACCCGCCGCCGCUGCUGCCUUCCGCCCGGUUUUGCUGGCUAUUACUGCCCGCCGAGCAAUGCCGAGUGGUGGCCGACCUGGAGAGCAUCAUCCGCGGUCGCUUCGGCUUCAGCCGCCGCACCCGGCUGCACCUCUUCCUGGACGGUGGUCUGCUGCCGCCCAACGAGAGCGUCCUGUUGGUGCGGGACAACGACUCGAUCCGGGUGAGACAAGAGGAAUUGCCGGCAGACAGACCUGUGGCUGGUGAGGAUGCAGGUGGGCUGCUGCUGGUGAACAGGAAAGGGAGCAGACACCGAUCGGCGGAGAGGAAGAGCAGAAAGCGGAGGAAGCUCGCAGAGCUGAGUGAGGGGCAAACCCCCAACUCGACCGAGGAAUCUGUCUGCGGCAUAACCACAGAACGUUUGGGGAAGAGAAAGAAGGCAGCAGAGGACGGUGCCCAGAAAAAACAUGGCAAGAAGAGAAAAUAUAAGCGCAGCAGCGAGUGGGAGAGGAUUGAAGCUUGCAGUGAGAGCCCCACAUUACAACGACACUCCCCGGCCACAACACGCAUUGUCCCGGCCUCGGGGAGCAGAGAGUGGGAGAUGGUUGUAGCUCGCAGUGAGAGUCCUACAUUACAACACCACUCCCCAGCCACAACACGCACCGUCUCAGCCUCAGACAGGUUCUCGGCCGGUGAACUGGAUCACCAUGUUCCGGCGACUAAUGGUGUUUUGUCGGUGCCCGGCCUCGCUGGGAAGGGACAGAACUGCAGGAGUUUGGAGCAGACAAGCAUGCCGGCAGCAGCAGAGACAAGCAGCAACACUGACACACCCAGCAGUGAUUCAGACGACCCCAUGGGGAGUCGGGAGGCUAUUCCUAGCCCUGCCUCGAUCACAGCCCUUCCUGCCUCCAGCUCGUCCGCAGGCUCCAGGGAUUCCCGGCCAGAGAAGCCCAGGGGAGUGGAGACUGCAUCCGGAUGUCAGACUGCCCCACCCCAUCACCCAGGGAGAAUAGGCUUCGGACUGGGGUGCGGAAGGGGCCGUGGACGAGGAGGUGUGACUCCACCGUGGGUCGGUGCAAAGGGCUGGCAGCAGCGGGGUCCCACUCGGGGCAGGGGCCGAGGGACUGGAGCCCCACACAACCACUAUCCACGUGGCCGUGAUACAAAGCCGGGAGAAUGGUUGGAGCCUGCGCAGCACCGGACCUUGGAGAGUGUCCCCAAGGUUCCUCCGAGGGAUUACAGCAAGCUGCCGCUCCUGGCCGCUCCACCACAGGUUGGGGAACGGAUUGCCUUCAAGGUGCUGGAGCUGUCGGAGAAUUACACACCAGAACUGUCUGAUUACAAGGAAGGAAGAAUCGUGAGUUACGAUGCUGAAACCCAGCAGGUGGAGCUCAGUGUGGAAUCGGAAACCUCAGGAAGUUCCAAAGAGCCUGGAAAGUUUGACCUGGUUUAUCAGUCUGAGAAUGGAGAGGCUGUGGUGGAGUAUGCAGUGACAAGGGAGUCCCAGUUGACACAAAGCUGGAGUUCACUGGUGGAGCCUCGUCUGAUAGUGCCUUUUGCUGCUGAGACCGAGGCGUUGGAGAUGGCCUGUUAACCCCCUCCUUCCUGCACUCCCUACACCUGGUCCAGACCGGGCCGAACCAAUCGUGGCCAGCUGCUGCUCUCCUCCACACCCUGGCUGUAUAGAGCUGUGUUUUAAUUCCAAAUAACAGCGAAGAACAAAUUCGAAGCUCUACAAAACAUCACUAUUAUAAAACAGCAAUGGGAAAACCUCAGAGACAGCAUAACACAAGCAGCACAAGAGGUGGUUCCCAAACAACAGAAAAAAAACUAAAAAGAAAUGGAUGACAGAAGAAAUUCUGAAUCUUAUGGAACAAAGAAGAAAAUGUAAGGAAAACGAAAAAGCAUGCAUGCACAGAUAACAACCAAGUGCAAGGAAGCAAAGAAAAGUGGCUUAAGGACAAAUGUGAGUAAAUAGAACAAUUGCAGAAGACCAACAACAGCAAACGUAUGCACGACGAGAUCAAAGAGGUCACAAAUUGGAGGAAAAGCAGGGCAACAACAGGAUGUAUAAAAGCAAAAGAUGGCUCUACAAUUAUGGAAAAAGAGAAAAAUAAUGCAGAGACGGUCAGAAUACAUCAAAGACCUAUACGAUGACAAAGACCGAGAGGACAACUUUGAUAUUGGCAACAACAACGAGGGCCCAGCAAUAGUGAAAGAAGAAGUGGAACAUGCUAUGAAGAAAAUGAAAAAGGGGAAAUCAUCAGGACCAGAUAACAUUCCGGUUGAACGGUAUGAAGCACUAGAAGAUUUUGGUGUAGAGAAAUUAACAAUCUUAUUGAAUAGAAUAUACAACAGUGGCAAAGUACCAGAAGAUCUUUUAAAGACAGUAGUCAUUGCACUGCCAAAGAAACCAGUUGUAAUAGAGUGUGGACAACACAGAACAAUUAGUUUAAUGAGCCACCUCACAAAAAUUCUACUUAGAAUCAUCAUGCUCAGAAUAAGAAACAAAAUUAAACCAGAGAUCAGUGAAGAACAGUGCGGCUUUGUUUGAAGGCAAGGGAACAUCAAACACCACUUAUAUUCUCAGGAAUAUUAUCAAAAGGUCAAUAGAAGUAUAACAAGACCUAUACUUCUGUUUCAUUGACUACACAAAAGCCUUUGACACAGUGAGACACCAACUCAUCAUGAAAAUGCUUGAAGAUAUAUUGGCGGAAAAGAUAUAAGGACGAUCAGGAAUCUCUACUGGCAACAAAGUGCAGCCAUAUGGAUAGACAAUGAGAUUGGUGAAUAUCAGCCAAUAAAGCGAGGAGUCAGACAGGGUUGUGUUCUGUCACCAGACCUGUUCUCCCUGUACAGCGAAAACAUCAUGAGAACCAUACAAGACCUACCUGGAAUAAGUAUAGGAGGAUACAAUAUUAACAGCCUCCGCUAUGUGGAUGAUACAGUACUGAUAGCAAACAGUGAAGUAAAUUUACAGAAACUAGUAUCUAUCAUCAACACAGAGAGCGAAAGACUUGGCCUAACCUUAAACAAAAAGAAAACUGAAGUAAUGGUAAUAGCAAAGAAACCUGAUAUCCCAAACUGUAGGAUCGUACUGGGAAAUUAAAUCCUGAAACGAGUUCACAACUUCAAGUACCUUGGAUCACGGGUAACAUCUGAUGGCAAAUGCGAAACAGACAUAAAAGCAAGAAUAGCAAUGACAAGAACAGCAUUUACAGAAAUGAGAAACAUCCUAGCGAACAAGAAAAUAGCAAUUGACAUCUGCCUUAGAACACUCAGCUGCUACAUUCUUCCUAUAUUGAUGUACGGCUGCGAGACAUGGACCACCACAAAUGCAACAGAAAAAAGAAUCAAUGCAGCAGAGAUGUGGUUCCUCAGAAGGAUGCUAUGCAUAUCAUAUACGGACAGGAUAACCAACGAAGAAGUUCUACAGAGAAAGAAAAUAAACGUACAUUACUUAAAAGAAUCAGAAAAUAGCAAUCAAAAUUCUUUGGACACAUCAUGCGACAGAGACAUUAGAACAUUUAGUUACAACUGGAAAGCUGGAAGGAAAAAGAAGCAGAGGGAGACAGAGAAUGGAAAUGAUAGAUGGAAUAACAUCCUGGUUAGAAACAGGGGAGGCAACAACUACAACUUGGAGGGUCAGGGACCAUGAUGGAUGGAGAGACAUGAUCGCCCACGCCGAACGGCAAGACACCUGAAUGAUGAUGACACACAAGAAUGUGUAUUGGAGAAAGACACAAAAUGCUGGGGGAUCUCAGCAGCUGUGGAGAGGACAUUUCCUCAGGACUGGAACAGAAGCAGGAGAAAGCCAGAAUAAGAUGGGGGGGUACGGGGGAG